rnacentral:rRNA from 1 species
CCUACGGGGGGCAGCAGUGGGGAAUAUUGGACAAUGGGCGAAAGCCUGAUCCAGCCAUGCCGCGUGUGUGAAGAAGGCCUUCGGGUUGUAAAGCACUUUCAGUGGGGAAGAAAGCCUUGGGGCUAAUACCCUCGAGGAAGGACAUCACCCACAGAAGAAGCACCGGCUAACUCCGUGCCAGCAGCCGCGGUAAUACGGAGGGUGCGAGCGUUAAUCGGAAUUACUGGGCGUAAAGCGCGCGUAGGCGGUCUGAUAAGCCGGUUGUGAAAGCCCCGGGCUCAACCUGGGAACGGCAUCCGGAACUGUCAGGCUAGAGUGCAGGAGAGGAAGGUAGAAUUCCCGGUGUAGCGGUGAAAUGCGUAGAGAUCGGGAGGAAUACCAGUGGCGAAGGCGGCCUUCUGGACUGACACUGACGCUGAGGUGCGAAAGCGUGGGUAGCAAACCGGAUUAGAUACCCGUGUAGUC